UGAACUUCCCUGUGGCUUUUUCAAUACUUGCUUGUCCCAGACUGCAAUUCCUCUGCUGUUCCCAAAUAAACACCUUCUGAUGGUCUUUCUACUCUGCCUGGUCCAGAAGGCACUGUGAUCCUGUCAGCAGCCGCCCAAGGGCAAAGCAGCGAUGUCUGAAUGCUACGUGAAUGCUGCUUUCCGUGGCUGCUGGCACUGGUGUCUUCAACCCUGCUAUGAGCUGCCGUGAGGAAAAAAUUGCAUGUCCCUAGGUGCUGCUUUAUACCCUGGAGGCAAGGCUGACUCCCUUCGCUCCAUUUACCUGUGUCCUGUACUCUCCUCCGCAAGAUGCUCCAAAUCCACCGAGCAUUUUAUGUGUGUCUUCCUCUGAUUAAAGCAAUGUCAGAACAUGGACCACCCCUGCUGAAUCCCCCACUGGAUUGCUAGUGCCUUAUUACACAACAAACACUUGCUGAUUUAAUACUUUUGGAGGAAAGAGUCAU